AAAGUCGUAACAAGGUCUCCGUUGGUGAACCAGCGGAGGGAUCAUUACCGAGUUGCAAAACUCCCAACCCUUUGUGAACGAACUUACCAGUUGCCUCGGCGGCGAGGCCCCCAGGGCGGACCGCCGACGGAAUACAAACUCUUUGCAUUAUAGUAUCUCUGAUUACUUAUUCAAUAAGUUAAAACUUUCAACAACGGAUCUCUUGGUUCUG
rnacentral:misc_RNA from 1 species